rnacentral:rRNA from 1 species
AUUGCUGCCCAGUGACUUGUAAGUUAAACGGCCGCGGUAUUCUGACCGUGCAAAGGUAGCAUAAUCAUUUGUUCCCCAAUUAGGGACUAGUAUGAAUGGCUAGACGAGGAUUCAACUGUCUCUUAUUCCCAAUCAGUGAAAUUGACCUUCCAGUUAAGAGGCUGGAAUAAAACAAUAAGACGGGAAGACCCUAUGGAGCUUUAAUUAACUAGCCUAAUUAUAAUAAUCAAACCCUAAUGGAACAAAACCAUAACCAUUAAGCUAACAAUUUUGGUUGGGGUGACCUCGGAGAACAAAAAAUCCUCCGAAUGAUUAUAGGACAGACAAACAAGUCAAAGCAAUCCGCUAUAUCUAAUUGACCCAAAAAUACUUUGACCAACGGACCAAGUUACCCUAGGGAUAACAGCGCAAUCCUAUUUAAGAGUCCAUAUCGAUAAUUAGGGUUUACGACCUCGAUGUUGGAUCAGGACACCCCAAUGGUGCAGAAGCUAUUAAGGUUCGUUUG